GGACUAAUAAAAACGACCGAGGCCUGUGUUACAUGUGUAAUUUUUUUACAUUUUACAAUUGAUCUUACUACUAGGGUUGUCAUGUUUUGUUUGGGAGGUGUCGCCGUGGGUGCGGUGGUUCUUGUGCGGGAUGGUUGUUCAGGAGUUUUUGUUUUUUCCCGUGCGUAUGGAUUUCCAUGGCUUCUGCCGGGGUGGCAUGUUGUUCUUUUCUUGAAGGUUUUGUGGUCUCUGCUUUGUGCCGCUCUGCUGGGAGGUCGUAUUCAGGCGCACUCAUUGCUGGGGCCGUGUUGGUUUUGCCUCUGGACGGGUCCAUUCUAUGUUCGUUUGGCCUCUGGCUGAGUGUUCGAGUUGUUGCUCCUAUAUGGGCUUGGUUUUCGUCCAUGGUGUUGUUUGUGGCUGGCACCUUGUGUGC
rnacentral:lncRNA from 1 species